rnacentral:rRNA from 1 species
UCUGGAAACUNUCUGACUUGAGUGCAGAAGGGGAGAGUGGAAUUCCAUGUGUAGCGGUGAAAUGCGUAGAUAUAUGGAGGAACACCAGUGGCGAAAGCGGCUCUCUGGUCUGUCACUGACGCUGAGGCUCGAAAGCGUGGGUAGCGAACAGGAUUAGAUACCCUGGUAGUCCACGCCGUAAACGAUGAGUGCUAGGUGUUAGGCCCUUUCCGGGGCUUAGUGCCGGAGCUAACGCAAUAAGCACUCCGCCUGGGGAGUACGACCGCAAGGUUGAAACUCAAAGGAAUUGACGGGGGCCCGCACAAGCGGUGGAGCAUGUGGUUUAAUUCGAAGCAACGCGAAGAACCUUACCAGGUCUUGACAUCCCGAUGCUAUUCUUAGAGAUAGGAAGUUACUUCGGUACAUCGGAGACAGGUGGUGCAUGGUUGUCGUCAGCUCGUGUCGUGAGAUGUUGGGUUAAGUCCCGCAACGAGCGCAACCCUUAUUGUUAGUUGCCAUCAUUAAGUUGGGCACUCUAGCGAGACUGCCGGUAAUAAACCGGAGGAAGGUGGGGAUGACGUCAAAUCAUCAUGCCCCUUAUGACCUGGGCUACACACGUGCUACAAUGGUCGGUACAACGAGUUGCGAGCCGGUGACGGCAAGCUAAUCUCUGAAAGCCGAUCUCAGUUCGGAUUGGAGGCUGCAACUCGCCUCCAUGAAGUCGGAAUCGCUAGUAAUCGCGGAUCAGCACGCCGCGGUGAAUACGUUCCCGGGCCUUGUACACACCGCCCGUCACACCACGAGAGUUUGUAACACCCGAAGUCGGUGAGGUA